rnacentral:rRNA from 1 species
AGAGUUUGAUCCUGGCUCAGGAUGAACGCUAGCUACAGGCUUAACACAUGCAAGUCGAGGGGAAACGACAUCGAAAGCUUGCUUUUGAUGGGCGUCGACCGGCGCACGGGUGAGUAACGCGUAUCCAACCUGCCCACCACUUGGGGAUAACCUUGCGAAAGUAAGACUAAUACCCAAUGACGUCUCUAGAAGACAUCUGAAAGAGAUUAAAGAUUUAUCGGUGAUGGAUGGGGAUGCGUCUGAUUAGCUUGUUGGCGGGGUAACGGCCCACCAAGGCAACGAUCAGUAGGGGUUCUGAGAGGAAGGUCCCCCACAUUGGAACUGAGACACGGUCCAAACUCCUACGGGAGGCAGCAGUGAGGAAUAUUGGUCAAUGGGCGAGAGCCUGAACCAGCCAAGUAGCGUGCAGGAUGACGGCCCUAUGGGUUGUAAACUGCUUUUAUAAGGGAAUAAAGUGAGUCUCGUGAGACUUUUUGCAUGUACCUUAUGAAUAAGGACCGGCUAAUUCCGUGCCAGCAGCCGCGGUAAUACGGAAGGUCCGGGCGUUAUCCGGAUUUAUUGGGUUUAAAGGGAGCGUAGGCCGGAGAUUAAGCGUGUUGUGAAAUGUAGACGCUCAACGUCUGCACUGCAGCGCGAACUGGUUUCCUUGAGUACGCACAAAGUGGGCGGAAUUCGUGGUGUAGCGGUGAAAUGCUUAGAUAUCACGAAGAACUCCGAUUGCGAAGGCAGCUCACUGGAGCGCAACUGACGCUGAAGCUCGAAAGUGCGGGUAUCGAACAGGAUUAGAUACCCUGGUAGUCCGCACGGUAAACGAUGGAUGCCCGCUGUUGGUCUGAAUAGGUCAGCGGCCAAGCGAAAGCAUUAAGC